rnacentral:misc_RNA from 1 species
UCCAAACUAUUGAAGAAGAAAAAAACGAGGUCAAUUUGGCAAAUACCAAACCAUGAACUUAAUUAUCAUUUGUAAAUAGAUUGUGUAUUUAAUGUGAAAAAUAAUUUGUGACAUAAUAAUACUAGUAUAUAUGUCUAUACUUUUGGAAAAUAUAAAUUUUGAUGAAGAUCACGUGAGAGUUCAGAGGUUACAGACGAGGUUGUAACCCUGUUGUGUCCGACACUUUGUGGUAGCUGUACUUAACUUGUUACCUAGCUAUUAAACUUCACUGCAUUG